GAGCUGUGUGGCCAGAAGCUCAUAAAGGGCGAGUUCGGUAGGCUGUGGGCUCUGCUCCUUAGAACCCUCUGCUGUACUGAUUGGCAGCACGGAGGACGGCGGAACAAAAGCAGGGACCAGUGGAAACGGCAGGCAGAAUACAGCUCUUCCUCUUCUCUCUUCUGCUCCUUCUUUCUUCCUCCUCCGAUUCUCUCUCCCUCUCCCUUCGUCCCUCUCUGCCGCCUUCCUUUCCUUCCUAUACUGGAUUUUCAUUACACUAGUUACAGAGUUUUCCAAAUACUUACAUUUUUUAAAAGAAAAGUAAGCUGGAUUUGGCAAAGAGAGGAUCAAUAGCCUAGCCUGAGCAAUUUAGUAAUUUAAGGAGACCCUGUCUUAAAAAAAUAAAAUAGGGGCUGGGAUUGUAACUCAGUGAGAAAGUUCUGGAUUCAGUCCCAGUACCAUGAAGUAGGGGCAUCUUUGGAGGCUGUCUUUAUUUUUUGCUGUACCGGGAGUCGAACUCAGGACCUUGCACUUGCAAGGCAGGCUGGCACCACUGAGCUAAAUCCCCGCCCUCCCCCCUUUUCUCUCUUUUUUUUAGACAAAGAACUCUAUAGUUCAGGGUGGCCUUGAACUCGUGGUAAUCCUCCUGCCUCAGCCUCCGGGGUGCUGGAUUAUAGGCGUGCACUACCACGCCCAGGCUUGGAGGCUGUUUGUAGACCGGUGGUGCCCGGUGGUAGGAGCCUGGCCGUCAGGGCUGGCCUGUCUGAAGAAUCGGGGCAAGGUUCACACAGAUGUUGGGAAAGGCACUCCCCAAAUUCCGGGGUUUCUUCCUGGCACACCCGCACGUUCCUACCCCUUCUUCCCCAAGUUCCUGGGGGAAAGCCAGGACAUCGCCGGCUCUGGGGGCAGGCACAGCUUCGGCACGAGCGGGAGACAAAGACCGGGGCUCCGGGAAGGAAGGGCAGCCUCCGCCAGAUGCAAGAACGGAAGCCUAAGCAGCGGACGGUGGCGGACCUCUGUAAUGCCAGUGCUCUGGGAGGCAGAGGCAGGAGGAUCACAAAUUUGAGCCCAAACUGGGCAAUUGAGCGACUUAGCCAGACCCUGUUUCAAAAUAUAUGGGAAAAGAGCUGCGGAUGUAGCAAUGGAAGAAAGGACAGAAGGAAGAAAGGACAGAAGGAAGAAAGGACAGAUAUAAAUGAUUGGACUGUAUUGUAGAGCUAUUGAAGUGGGAUGCUAUGUCCAGCGUGGUGGUACACAUUUGUAAACCCAGCUACUCGGGAGCCUGAGUUGGAGGAUUACAAGUUGGAGGCCAACCUGGACAAUUUAAUGAGACUCGGUCU